UACGUAGGGGGCAAGCGUUGUCCGGAAUUAUUGGGCGUAAAGAGCUCGUAGGCGGCUUGUCACGUCGGGUGUGAAAGCCCGGGCUUAACCCCGGGUCUGCAUUCGAUACGGGCUAGCUAGAGUGUGGUAGGGGAGAUCGGAAUUCCUGGUGUAGCGGUGAAAUGCGCGAUAUCAGGAGGAACACCGGUGGCGAAGGCGGAUCUCUGGGCCAUUACUGACGCUGAGGAGCGAAAGCGUGGGGAGCGAACAGG
rnacentral:rRNA from 1 species